rnacentral:rRNA from 1 species
AACGAACGCUGGCGGCAGGCCUAACACAUGCAAGUCGAGCGGCCUUUCGGGGGAGCGGCGGACGGGUGGGUAACGCGUGGGAAUAUGCCCUUCUCUACGGAAUAGCCUCGGGAAACUGAGAGUAAUACCGUAUACGCCCUUUGGGGGAAAGAUUUAUCGGGGGGGGAUUAGCGCGCGUUGGAUUAGGUUGUUGGUGGGGUAGUGGCCUACCAAACCGACGAAGGAUAGCUGGCCUGAGAGGAGGAUCAGCCACACUGGGACUGAGAGACGGCCCAGACUACUACGGUAGGCAGCGGGGGGGAGUAGUGUACAAUGAGAGGGAGACGGAUGUAGAAACGCCGCGCGGGGGAAGACAUACUGCGGGUAGUGAAAAGCAGUCCUUUGAGACGAAGCGUGAGUGACGGUAAUGGAAAAAGAAGCACGGGCUAACUCCGUG